GAUGAAGAACUCAGCGAAAUGCGAUAAGUAAUGCGAAUUGCAGAAUUCAGUGAGUCAUCGAAUCUUUGAACGCACAUUGCGCCCUGUGGUAUUCCGCAGGGCAUGCCUGUUCGAGCGUCAUUUCAACCCUCAAGCCCCGCUUGGUGUUGGGCCCCGCCCGCCGUGGCCGGCCCUAAAGACAGUGGCGGCGCCGCCUGGCCCUCAGCGUAGUACAGCUCUCGCUCCAGGGUCCGGCGGCCGCCUGCCAGAACCCCCCCAACUCUGUGGUUGACCUCGGAUCAGGUAGGGAUACCCGCUGAACUUAAGCAUAUCAAUAAGCGGAGGA
rnacentral:misc_RNA from 1 species